UUGAAAAUUACGUCAAUGAAAUAACUUUGUAUAUAAUGAAUUAAACGCAAACUACAUUCAUUUGCAUGAGAAAGGAACCAAAGCUCCGCUUUAAUUCCAUCGAAAUAUCUAUGGAGCGGUAUUCGGUUCAAAAAUGAAAUUGGCAAUUUGUUAACAUUUAUAUGCUUUAUUAAUAAUCUGUUUCAAUACAUUCCAUUCAUGUAUUGUUUAAUUCGUUGUAAUAAAGUGUUAAAUCGUAAUUUACAUUUCUGUAACUAGCUAACAAUUUUCAUGAUAUUACAAACCGCUAUGUGUCUAAUGCUAAACGCCAAACCGCUACGUGUCUAACGCUAAACGCCUAACCGCAAUACGCCUAACUCGAUUUCGAUUACGAAACUAAACAUGUAAAUGUCAACUUAUCACUGAAAUGUUACUUCGUUUGAUUUCAAAUUGUCUUCUUAAAUUGCAAAUCGGAAUGUGUCUAUUGCAUAAGUUCAAACCGUGAUUUGAUAUUACUAGAAUUUGAUUACGAAACUGAAGAUGAGCUUAUCAAUGCUAGCUCCAACUAAUCACCGAAAAGUUACUUCCCCUUGCUUUGAAAUUGCCAUUUGUACUAUGGUGGAAAUCACAGGCAUCUGGAGCAUUGAGUUCCUAAAAUACCUCGGCCAGUAUCAAACAGGAAUUGGUCUCGGAAAUAAUAAGAUCCAUCAUGGCCUACCAAGGAGAUGUUCAAACACCCAAGCGAUAUGUUAGACCAAAGACAAGAAGAGGGGAGAACUAUUACCACCUAUUUGUGGGGCAGUAUGGUUCCAGUGGUGCGACCGGCUCUGAAUUCCUGGCUUGUUCUGAUGAAAAAUGGCAGAAGGGGCACUGGAAUGUAAUCAAAUAUGCCAUUGUACUGAGGAUUGACCUGCAAUACGUGGAAAACACGUAACACAACUGCAAAGCCAAUCUGGAAGGGAAAAUAAGUACAAGAUGGAAACAAUGUGGAACAACAUGUUCAGUGGAACAACUUGAUAUUUGAUGACUUACAUACUGAUGUGAAGUUGCAGAUAAUAGUCAACUGUUGGCCAGUGAUUAGUAAAUACAAAAAGUAUCAUUAAUUCAUGCCUGAGGCAAUACAAUCCGAAUCUGGACAUUCACUUUACAACCUAGAUAGAGCCAGACUCCUUAAUUAUGCUUGGUAGUGCUACUCAGUGGUAACCCUUUUGCAGUCAAUUUUAAAUAGUUAAACAUAUUUUUCAGAGUAUUUGAGUGAACUUUACAUUUAAUCCGGACACAUAUUUCUUCACUGUGGAUCAUUUUAACAAUGGAAAGUUCAUAUUUAUAUAUAUUCAUGCAACUGUGUGGUAAAGGAAUCAUCUUCGCUUAAAACGGUUUUCAUAAGAAGGAGAGAAGAUAACAGAAACAGAAACAGAUGGAAUUGGCAGACCAAAUAAAAAACCGAUUUUGUUUAGUUCAAUUUAAAAUACUUAAGUCCUAAUAGGGCACAUGCCAUAUUGUAAAUUGGGCUCUUUAAAAUGUGAAAAGGUGAAUGUGGUCUAGAGGAUAAGCCUAGAGGUGUCAGCCUCAAAUCCAGGGUUGUGGGUUGACGGUUCAAGUCCCACCGAGAUACUUUCUGAUGGCCUCAGCAAAAGGAUGUCUGUACUAGUUUCUUCUAAGGCUACAGACUUGAGAGUGGUUAUGCAAGCUUUCAGCUUGCGUAGCAAUCUAGCUGAAAUGAUUAGGUUUAAAAUAAGAUACUUGCUGACUUUCAAACAGUUUUUUUUUCCAUUUGUGUUGAUUUGUUUUUCAGUCUGUUAGAAUGUUUAUUAGAAGUGAUGAGCAUUGCUUACUGCAACUAAUAUUCAUUUUUAGCUUGACUAUUCUAAGAAUAGGUGGGCUAUACUACUCGCCCCGGCAUCGGUGUCCGGUUAAAGUUUUAGGGCAAGUUGGGAUUUUCACUUAUAAGUCCAAUACCCUUUACUCAAUUGACUUUAUACUUCACAGAGUUGUUCAGGACCAUCACACAAUGAGGUUUCAUAACCCCAUAUUAUUCUUAAUACAAGUUAUGGCCCCUGAUUGACUUAAAGUUUUAGGCAGGUUGGGAUAUUUAUUAAUUACUUCUAUACCCUUCAUUCAAUUGACUUAAUACUUCACACAAUUGUUCAGGACCGUUACCCAAUGAGGUUACAUAACUCCAUAUCCUUACUACAAGUUAUGGCCCCUGAUUGACUUAGGUUAAAGUUUUAGGCAAGUAAAAGUUAGGGGAAAGUUGGGAUUUUAAUAAAAAAAACUUCUAUACCGUUCAUCCAAUGCACUUAAUAAAAUUCAAAAUUAUUUACGACCAUCUUACAACAAGAAACAUAACUCCAUUUUAACCCUAAAUACAAAUUAUGGCCCGUGAUUUUUUAUUUUUAUGCCCCUCUUCGAAGAAGAGGGGUAUAUUGCUUUGCACAGGCAUGUCGGUAUGUCGGUCGGUCGGUCGGUCGGUCCGUCGGUAGACCAAAGUUUGUCCGAGUGAUAACUCAACAAUCCCUGGACGUAUGGUCAUCAAACUUCACAUGAAGGUUAGGCCUGACCAGUAAAUAACCCCUAUUGAUUUUGGGGGUCAUCGGGUCAAAGGUCAAGGUCACAGUGACCUUUAAUGGUAAAAUAAUUUUAAAGCUUGUCCGAGUGAUAACUCAACAAUGCCUGCACCCAUGGCCCUCAAACUUGACAUGGAGGUUGGGCCUGACCAGUAGUUGACCCCUAUUGUUUUUGGGGGUCAUCGGGCCAAAGGUCAAGGUCACAGUGACCUUGAAUGGUAAAAGGUUGUCCGAGUGAUAACGUGACAAUGCCUGCACCCAUGGCCCUCAAACUUGACUUGGAGGUUGGGCCUGACCAGUAGCUGACCCCUAUUGUUUUUUGGGCUCAAUGGGUCAAAGGUCAAGGUCACAGUGACCUUUAAUGGUAAAAGAUUGUUCAUGUGAUAACUCAACAAUGCCUGCACCCAUGGCCCUCAAACUUGACUUGGAGGUUGGGCCUGACCAGUAGAUGACCCCUAUUGUUUUUGGGGGUCAUUGGGCCAAAGGUCAAGGUCACAGUGACCUUGAAUGGUAAAAGGUUGUCCGAUUGAUAACUCAACAAUGCCUGCACCCAUGGCCCUCAAACUUGACUUGGAGAAUUGGCCUGACCAGGAGAUGACCCCUAUGGUUUUUGGGGGUCAUCUGGCCAAAGGUCAAGAUCACAGUGACCUGGAAUGGUAAAAGGUUGUCCGAGUGAUAACUCGACAAUGCCUGCACCCAUGGCCCUCAAACUUGAUUUGGAGAUUGAGCCUGGCCAGAAGAUUGUCCCUAUUAAUUUUAGGGGUCAUUGGGCCAAAGGUCAAGGUCACAGUGACCUUGAAGGAUAAAAGGUUGUCCAAGUAAUAACUCAACAAUGCCUGCACCCAUGGCCCUCAAACUUGACAUGGAGGUUGGGCCUGACCAGUAGAUGACCCCUAUUGAUUUUAGGGGUCAAAGGUCAAGGUCACAGUGACCUUGAAAGCAAACUCGACAAUUCUUGGACCUAUGGUCAUCAAACUUGACAUGAAGGUUGGGCCUGCCCAGUAGAUGACCCCUAUCGACUUUGGGGGUCAUCAGGCCAAGGUCAAUUUCACAGUAACCUUUAACGCAAAAAAGUUAACAAAUCUUCCCCCACUGAUUUCUCAACAAUGCCUGAACCUAUGAUCAUUAAACUUGACAUGGAUGUUAAGCCUGACCAGUAGAUCACCCUUAUUGAUUUUAGGAUUCAUAGAGCCAAAGGUCAAGGUCACAGUGAUUUUGAAUGGUAAAAGGUUGUCCGAGUGAUAACUCAACAAUGCCUGAACCCAUGGCCUUCAAACUUGACUUGGAGUUGCAUCUGACUUGUAGAUGACCCCUUAUGAUUUAAGGGGUCAUCAGGUCAAAGGUCAAGGUCACAGUGACCUUGAACGAAAAAACUUGUCUUGUGAUAACUUGACAAUGCCUGCACCCAUGGCCCUCAAACUUGACAUUUAGGUUUCUGGUGACCAGCUGAUGACUCUGGAUUUUGAGUUCAUAGAGUCAAAGGUCAUGACGGUCAUAACACACUUUAUCCUCACACUUUAAUGGUCAUAAUCUUAAAACAGCAACAAAUCAGCUGUCAUUUCGGUCCAUGCAUAUUUCAUUCAAUUGUCCAUAUAAUCCUGACAACAUGGCGCUCAGGGGGGGCAUAAUGUUUGACAAACAUCUCUUGUUUUUAAAAUUUCUUUUGAAAGGCAUAUUUGUAUAUUCUUAACCACAUUUUCA